rnacentral:rRNA from 1 species
UACGUAGGUGGCAAGCGUUGUCCGGAUUUACUGGGCGUAAAGAGCGCGCAGGCGGUCGUUCAAGUCGCGUGUGAAAGCCCCCGGCUCAACUGGGGAGGGUCACGCGAUACUGAUCGACUCGAAGGCAGGAGAGGGUAGUGGAAUUCCCGGUGUAGCGGUGAAAUGCGUAGAGAUCGGGAGGAAGGCCGGUGGCGAAGGCGGCGCUCUGGAACAUUUCUGACGCUGAGGCUCGAAAGCGUGGGGAGCAAACAGG